UAUGUGAUCGUCUCUCGCAUAUCAAUAAGCGGAGGAAAAGAAACUAACAAGGAUUCCCCUAGUAACGGCGAGUGAAGCGGGAAGAGCUCAAAUUUGAAAUCUUAAAGGGUUUCCCUUUACGAAUUGUAGUUUAAAGAAGUGUUUUCUGUUGAGGUUUUGGUAAAAGUUCUUUGGAAUAGGACAUCAUAGAGGGUGAGAAUCCCGUAUUUGACCUUUACUUUCAACUUUGUGAUACACUUUCAAAGAGUCGGAUUGUUUGGGAAUGCAGUCCAAAAUGGGUGGUAAAUUUCAUCUAAAGCUAAAUAUUGGCGAGAGACCGAUAGCGAACAAGUACCGUGAGGGAAAGAUGAAAAGAACUUUGAAAAGAGAGUUAAACAGUACGUGAAAUUGUCAAAAGGGAAGCGUUUGACACCAGUGUUGUUUUUCUGAAAAUCAAUUAAAGAACUGUUUAUGCUAAGUUGUUUAGACUUUAUCAGCUAUCUGUUUAGUUUUGAGCUUUUCUUUAAUGCACUUUUCAGUUAACAAGUCAACAUCAAUUUCUUUUGCUGUAAAAAAGCUUGAGGAAGGUGGCUUGAGAUUCGUCUUAAGUGUUUAUAGCCUCUUGCCUAUGCAGUCGGAGAGAUUGAGGUCUGCAGCGUAGAUCCUUCGGGGCUAAAUGCAUUUGUGCUAAGUUAUAGCAUUUUAUAGACAACUUGUUGACUAUGAUUUGUCUUGUAGCUUACUCGCUUAUGUUAUUUUACCUACGCUUAGGAUGUUGAUCUACAGAGCGAGAGU
rnacentral:rRNA from 1 species